rnacentral:rRNA from 1 species
UGAAUACGAGAUGCUACGGCGUCGAAGCAGUCUAUGUCAUACUUCCAAGAAAAGCUUGCACUGUCAUAAACAAAUAAUGCCUGUACCAUAACCGACACAGGUGGGUAGGUAGAGUAUACUAAGGGGCGCGAGAUAACUCUCUCUAAGGAACUCGGCAAAAUGACUCCGUAACUUCGGGAGAAGGAGUGCCUUAUUUAUAAGGUUGCAAUAACAAGAUCCAAGCAACUGUUUACCAAAAACACAGGUCUCCGCUAAGUCGUAAGACGAUGUAUGGGGGCUGACGCCUGCCCAGUGCCAGAAGGUUAAAGAAGUUGGUUAGCAUCCGCGAAGCUGAUAACUGAAGCCCUGGUGAACGGCGGCCGUAACAAUAACGGUCCUAAGGUAGCGAAAUUCCUUGUCGGGUAAGUUCCGACCCGCACGAAAGGCGUAAUGAUUUGGAUACUGUCUCGGAGAGGGGCUCGGUGAAAUAGACUUGUCUGUGAAGAUGCGGACUACCUGCACCAGGACAGAAAGACCCUAUGAAGCUUUACUGUAACCUGAAAUUGAAAUUGGACUUUACUUGCGCAGUAUAGGUGGGAGGCGUUGAGAAUAUUCUUGCGGGAUUAUUGGAGCCAUCAGUGAGAUACCACUCUUGUAAUGUUAGAUUUCUAACUUUGUAUCAUUAUCUGGUCAAAGAACAGUUUCAGGCGGGCAGUUUGACUGGGGCGGUCGCCUCCUAAACGGUAACGGAGGCGCACAAAGGUUUCCUCUGAACGGGUAGAAAUCGUAUCUAGAGUGUAAAGGCAUAAGGAAGCUUGACUGUGAGACCUACAAGUCGAGCAGGGACGAAAGUCGGUCUUAGUGAUCUGACGGUGCUGAGUGGAAAGGCCGUCACUCAACGGAUAAAAGUUACUCUAAGGAUAACAGGCUGAUCUCCCCCAAGAGUUCACAUCGACGGGGAGGUUUGGCACCUCGAUGUCGGCUCAUCGCAUCCUGGGGCGGUAGUACGUCCCAAGGGUUGGGCUGUUCGCCCAUGAAAGCGGUACGCGAGCUGGGUUCAGAACGUCGUGAGACAGUUCGGUCCAUAUCCGGUGUAGGCGUUAGAAUAUUGAGAGGAGCCUUCUUUAGUACGAGAGGACCGAGAAGGACAUACCUCUGGUGUACCAGUUAUCGUGCCAACGGUAAACGCUGGGUAGCUAUGUGUGGAGUGGAUAACCGCUGAAAGCAUCUAAGUGGGAAGCCCACCUCAAGAUAAGUAUUCUCAC